AGUGAACGCUGGCGGCGUGCCUAAUACAUGCAAGUCGAACGGAGUGGCGCACGGGUGCGUAAUAUAUAGCUAAUCUGCCCCUUGCUGGAGGACAACAGUUAGAAAUGACUGCUAACACUCCAUAGCAAGGGAUGAGACGAUAUCGUAUCAGCUAGUCGGUGGGGUAACGGCCUACCGAGGCUAUGACGCGUAACUGGUCUGAGAGGAUGAUCAGUAACAUUGGAAGGGAGACACGGGCCAAACACCUACGGGAGGGAGCAGUAGGGAAAACUGCGCAAUGGGGGAAACCCAGACGAAGCAGCGCCGCGUGGAGGAUGACACUUUUCGGAGCGUAAACACCUUUUGUUAGGGAAGCGGUACCUAACGAAUAAGCACCGGCUAACUCCGUGCCAGCCGCCGCGGUAAUUC
rnacentral:rRNA from 1 species